AGUGAACGCUGGCGGCGUGCCUAAUACAUGCAAGUCGAACGGAGAUUAAGUAGCUUGCUAUUUAAUCUUAGUGGCGCACGGGUGAGUAAUAUAUAGCUAACUUGCCCAUUACUAAGGGACAACAGUUGGAAACGACUGCUAAUACCUUAUACUCCGUAUCUAUAUAAGUAGAUACGGGAAAGUUUUUCGGUAAUGGAUAGGGCUAUAUCGUAUCAGCUAGUUGGUAAGGUAAUGGCUUACCAAGGCUAUGACGCGUAACUGGUCUGAGAGGAUGACCAGUCACACUGGAACUGAGACACGGUCCAGACUCCUACGGGAGGCAGCAGUAGGGAAUAUUGCUCAAUGGGGGAAACCCUGAAGCAGCAACGCCGCGUGGAGGAUGACACUUUUCGGAGCGUAAACUCCUUUUCUUGGGAAAGAAUUAUGACGGUACCCAAGGAAUAAGCACCGGCUAACUCCGUG
rnacentral:rRNA from 1 species